UUCUAGGGUCCCAAGUCCAUGCUUGUGAAAGACCCCCAGAGUGGGGAGACCCUCACUCAAGUCUCAGGAUAAGCCGACUCCCCAAUAAUUCAAGAGAGACC
rnacentral:pre_miRNA from 11 species